CAGAGGGUGCAAGCGUUGUUCGGAAUUACUGGGCGUAAAGCGCGCGCAGGCGGAACGUCAAGUCGGAAGUGAAAUCUCGCCGCUCAACGGCGGGGCUGCUUUCGAUACUGUCGCUCUAGGGACCGGUAGAGGCUGGUAGAAUUGCAGGUGUAGCGGUGGAAUGCGUAGAGAUCUGCAAGAAUACCCGUGGCGAAGGCGGCCAGCUGGGCCGGGUCCGACGCUGAGGCGCGAAAGCGUGGGGAGCAAACAGGAUUAGAUACCCUGGUAGUCCACGCCGUAAACGAUGGGCACUAGGUGCCGGGGGGAGCGACCCCUUCGGUGCCGCAGCUAACGCGAUAAGUGCCCCGCCUGGGGAGUACGGCCGCAAGGCUG
rnacentral:rRNA from 1 species